rnacentral:rRNA from 1 species
CAAAGGUUCCCUCAGAAUGGUUGGAAAUCAUUCGCAGAGUGUAAAGGUAGAAGGGAGCUUGACUGCGAGACUGACAAGUCGAGCAGGGACGAAAGUCGGGCUUAGUGAUCCGGUGGUUCCGUAUGGAAGGGCCAUCGCUCAACGGAUAAAAGCUACCCUGGGGAUAACAGGCUUAUCUCCCCCAAGAGUCCACAUCGACGGGGAGGUUUGGCACCUCGAUGUCGGCUCAUCGCAUCCUGGGGCUGUAGUCGGUCCCAAGGGUUGGGCUGUUCGCCCAUUAAAGCGGUACGCGAGCUGGGUUCAGAACGUCGUGAGACAGUUCGGUCCCUAUCCGUCGCGGGCGCAGGAAAUUUGAGAGGAGCUGUCCUUAGUACGAGAGGACCGGGAUGGACGUUCCGCUGGUGUACCAGUUGUGCCGCCAGGCGCAUCGCUGGGUAGCUAUGAACGGAAGGGAUAAACGCUGAAAGCAUCUAAGUGUGAAGCCCCCCUCGAGAUGAGAUUUCCCAUUCCUAUAUGGAAGUAAGACCCCUGAAAGAUGAUCAGGUAGAUAGGCUGGAAGUGGAAGUGCAGCGAUGCAUGGAGCGGACCAGUACUAAUCGGUCGAGGACUUAACCAA